GUUCAGUUAGUCCAAAAGAUCAGCUGGGAACUAGAUUAGGGAUGCUGUGGUAAUGGGAUAUCAGAAAAUAAAUUGGGGAAGGAGAAGAACGGAGGAGGUGGAGAAAGAAGCAGUGCUGCCAAAUUUAUUUCAAAGAAAAAAAUGCUCUCUUGUUUCCGUUAAAUGUUGGAUGCUCCCCAGACCAGAGUAGCCGCUCAUUCCCUUCUGCGCUCCGUAGAGAAAACAACAAAAACAUAAAAACAGAACAAAGCAAGGGUGCUUUCGUCUUCUCUUUUCCCUUCUUCCAACUGAGUCCUUCUUUCAGCCCCAGACCCCGAGCACGCGAAGGUUCUUUUUCUCUCCCACAACCCGUAUUGUUUUUGGCCCUAAGCAGUGGCCGCCGGUUCCAUUUUCCAGACUGGAGCUGGGUUUGGCCCCGAGACCUCAGGAAGGUGAGGAAGCUUCAGGCAGGAAGCUGACCCAGUUCUCUCUCCCCGUUUUCUUUCUUCCCCUCCCGCUCCCUUCCUCCGCUUCCCUCUGGUUCCUCUGCUCCUCCGCCCGGCUGUCACCUGCUCCCCUCCCUCUACACUCCUGGGUCCCGGAACUGCGGCUGGGAGGAGGGACCGCUGACACACUGGGAGAGUGGCAGGCAACCCCGCUCUUCCUCUUCAGCAAACCACUCUUUCUGAGCAUAAACUGAUUUCCAUGGCGGAGGACUGUCCUGUCUACAUCCCUGGAAGCAUACACGGCGCAUGGUCCUUGGUUGCUGACUUUGGUACCCAAGAGAGCCCGGCUGGCGGCGCCCUGGCAGCGGAUGUGCGUGUCCCCCGCUGCCCAGAGAGCCUGGGGGCAUUUCCAGACCCCCGGGGUCGGAUCACGUGGUUCCCGCCUCGCACAGAGGAGAUCCUGGUCAAGGUGGAGUGGGUUGCAACCGUCCAGGGAUUCUCUUCCUCCAGAUCAAGAGCUGCAGCCUGCCUCCUUGGUCAUCAAGAGGACAUGACCACUGGUUGACUGGAAGACUGGACCCAUGCAAACAGAGGCUCCUUAUCCUCUCUUCUGUCCUUGGAAUACAUCUUCAGCCAACUGUUUCCUGGUAGAAGCUCCUCCAAGGACAUAGCCUUGAAAGAAUUAGAUGUUGGUGAGAUCUGGCCUGAAUAUGUGACUGAACUCAGGUAAGGUCUCUGUAUAAAUUUUUAAGAUUCUGGUAGGCAAGUGAAGGGAGAUCUCAUAUGUAAUUUCCUUUGCUCAUUAAAAGUGCCACCCAAAGUGAUCUGCUUCCUUUUUUUGUCCCUCCUUGGCCUCCAUAUGCAGAGGUCAAGUUGUGAACCAACAAUUGGCAAGCCAGCCAGGAAAUUGAAGAAAUAGGUCUUGAGAAGAAAUUCUGGUUUGGCCAUUGACUUCUGUGUGGGGAAAAAUGAUUCCUAUAUUAGAUGCCUAUGGACUGCUAACUGAGUAGGAGAUGCCCUGAAAACAUAGGCUGGUUUAAUGUGCUUAUGUGAUGAACACACUGUGAAGAAGAAGGGAAAUGAACUGCUGCUGUUGUGGGCUAGAUUUCACUGUGGUUGGUGGCCAUCACCAAUGCCCAACUGGAGGCUGAAACUCAAGUUAGAAAGUUGGAAGAAGAACGGAGGUUAGAGAAGGGCACUCAG
rnacentral:lncRNA from 9 species